AGAGUUUGAUCCUGGCUCAGUAAGUCGUAACAAGGUAACCAGUAGAGUUUGAUCCUGGCUCAGAUUGAACGCUCCCCCGCAUGCCUUACACAUGCAAGUCGAACGGCAGCACGGACUUCGGUCUGGUGGCGAGUGGCGAACGGGUGAGUAAUAUAUCGGAACGUACCCAGAAGUGGGGGAUAACGUAGCGAAAGUUACGCUAAUACCGCAUACGAUCUACGGAUGAAAGUGGGGGACCGCAAGGCCUCAUGCUUUUGGAGCGGCCGAUAUCUGAUUAGCUAGUUGGUAGGGUAAUGGCCUACCCACCCCGACGAUCAGUAGCUGGUCUGAGAGGACGACCAGCCACACUGGAACUGAGACACGGUCCAGACUCCUACGGGAGGCAGCAGUGGGGAAUUUUGGACAAUGGGCGCAAGCCUGAUCCAGCAAUGCCGCGUGAGUGAAGAAGGCCUUCGGGUUGUAAAGCUCUUUUGUCAGGGAAGAAACGGCUGAGGCUAAUAUCCUCGGCUAAUGACGUACCU
rnacentral:rRNA from 1 species